rnacentral:rRNA from 1 species
AGUGAACGCUGGCGGUAGGCCUAACACAUGCAAGUCGAACGGCAGCACAGUAAGAGCUUGCUCUUACGGGUGGCGAGUGGCGGACGGGUGAGGAAUACAUCGGAAUCUACUUUUUCGUGGGGGAUAACGUAGGGAAACUUACGCUAAUACCGCAUACGACCUACGGGUGAAAGAAGGGGAUCUUCGUACCUUGCGCGAUUGAAUGAGCCGAUGUCGGAUUAGCUAGUUGGCGGGGUAAAGGCCCACCAAGGCGACGAUCCGUAGCUGGCCUGAGAGGAUGAUCAGCCACACUGGAACUGAGACACGGUCCAGACUCCUACGGGAGGCAGCAGUGGGGAAUAUUGGACAAUGGGCGCAAGCCUGAUCCAGCCAUACCGCGUGGGUGAAGAAGGCCUUCGGGUUGUAAAGCCCUUUUGUUGGGAAAGAAAAGCAGCAGGUUAAUACCCCGCUGUUCUGACGGUACCCAAAGAAUAAGCACCGGCUAACUUCGUG